rnacentral:rRNA from 1 species
GACAGAGGGUGCAAUCGUUGUUCGGAAUUACUGGGCGUAAAGCGCGUGUAGGCGGUGGCGCAAGUCGGGUGUGAAAGCCCUGGGCUCAACCCAGGAAGUGCAUUCGAUACUGCGUCGCUUGAGUCCCGGAGAGGAUGGUAGAAUUCUCGGUGUAGAGGUGAAAUUCGUAGAUAUCGAGAGGAAUACCGGUGGCGAAGGCGGCCAUCUGGACGGUGACUGACGCUGAGACGCGAAAGCGUGGGGAGCAAACAGG